GGUGGCUUAAUGGUAGAGUGCUUGCCUUGCAUGCAUGAGGCUCUGGGUUCGAUUCCUCAGCACCA
rnacentral:tRNA from 1 species